GGAGGAAUGGAAGAUCUCUGAGUUGUGCUCUCUUCUGCCAACAUCUGGAGGACAAGGAUCCCUGAUGAGCCAGGAAACCUGACCCACUGGAGGAUUGAUUCUCCUAGGUGUAUGAAGGAGGGAAAGGACAGCUACAGAACAAGAAGCUGCUGUGCUGGAAUUCCUUCAGGCUACCUUCUGGAAGUCAAUGACAAAAGCUACACUGAUCAAAAUGGAAAGAAUGGCAGAAAAAACAACAAUGGAUUAGAACAAUUGUGCAAAGACAGAUCUCUUUCUCAGUCAUUGGCUUUGGGAACAGCUCGUUGCCUAAAGGGCUUUGGAGGGCAGAUCCUGGGAUCAGAGGAAUCUCUUUCCAAGUGGCUGAAGAUCUGGACAGAAAUCAGGGACAUGUGUGGUGAAAGGAGGACUGAGGAGGGAGGGAAGCCUUUUGUAUGUGUGUUAUUCUUUUCAUAGGGAGAAAAAAAAAAAAGAUGAUACUAAAGGAUAAGAUGCUUGAGAAGAAAAACUAAAGCAUGGGAAUGGACAUGCUUUAGGGCAAAACAGAAAGGAGGGAGCGUAGCAAGAAGAUACGGAAGAGAACAAGACUACUGAAAGGGCAUCCAUGUAGAAAACAGUCACCCAGGACAAGAGGUAGAUUGCAUCUCAUGGAUGAGUAAAUACAGAAAUCACAGAUUUGAACAAACUGGUACAUCAUGAAUGUAGCUCUUAAUUUGUGGAAAUUUGUGGAAUAACUUUACUAGACUUCUCUGUUGGUUUUAUCUUCAACUGCUAAGAAAUUUGUGGCAUACCAGCUGAACCUUAACCAAGAGAUUUGAUUUAAAACUCAAAAUGGCUAUAAUGAAGGGAGGAGAGGGAAUACUGGGUGUAUGUGUGUGGUUCCUUAAGUGUGUAGUUGACUGUGUCCCAUGAUUGUGUCUUGUGGUUUCAUUACAGAGCGCUAAAGUAUGAUCCAGUAGAGGAGGUAGAUCAAGAAGAGUUUAAGGCUUUUCUAGAUAGCUUAACUCUUUCUUAAAGGUGGCCACUUACUGUGGCCACUUCAGAGCUUGCAUUCCAUGGGUGAAGGGAGAAUGUUAAUAGCCAGACUACUAAGUUUCAGAUUUAACAGCAGUUUUGCCUCUGUUAGUUCCUUUAAACUUUGGCCAUUCAGUCCUCUGCUGUAGAUGUUACUGGGAGAUCCAAGCUCAAACAGAAAUACCUGGGCUGUGAAGCUGUGCUGGCCACUGCACCAAGGCUACAACAGAGAAACAAACUCACUCUCUCUCUUUUUUUAUUUUUUUCUUUUCAGUUCAUUGCAGUUUUUCCUCUCUUGAGGUGUGUGUGGGAACACCUGAUAAGAAGCACUCUAAAAGCUGCUGGUGUUAUGGAGAUGGUGUUUAUAGACUCUUACUAUGACAUUAGCAGCCAGCUGGGUCAAGUGUCACAGACCAUACCACUCUUGUUUCCUGAAGGUGUUUUCAUUUGUAGGAAUCAUUAGUGCAACUUAACACUCAUUGAGUAACUCAAACAGUGAAAACUUGGACUGGUUUUGUAGCCACUUACAUUAACAAUGUCUUUCAGUUAUUUCCUUCUCAGGACUUUAAGGAAGUGUGACAAAUACUUGAUAGGUCACCCCAGCAAUGCUUUCUACAAUUGUUUGGCAGCUCUUGAAAAUGAGUCAUGUCCUUUCCUGUUUCCAAUUUUCACUGGGGAACUCCCUCUUGGUACUUGACACUUCACCACUCCAACAGUACCCAUGCCUACUUGCACACCACAAAACAUUUCUCAUGUUAUCCCAAGUGACCUACCUCUGCAAAUAUUUCAGUAUUAUAAACAGUCAAGGCCCAUUUUUGAGCAAAACUCUAACUAAAUACUGAGCUUGCCUCCCUUGUUUUUUGGGGGGGUUUGUCGUUGUUUGUUUUUUAGUGAUUCCAUUCAUAUGAGCCAACUUAAAUCAAUUUUGAACCAAGACGCUGCAAAGAAAAGUCCAUUGACUGGAUACUAAUCAUUGUUUAUUUCUCUUUUUUUUACACUGUUAAUUGCAUUUUCUGUUCCUUUUUGGCAGGCAUAAUUAUCAAAUAUACUAAUCAAACGUCAAAGUGGAGAUCUUUCAUCCUUAAUUUUUUUGCUUUACAAAAAUAAGGGUUGCUUAAAGUUCGUAGUAUAGUAUUUAAACACGUGUGGGAGUAGAAUUGUUUCAGACCACACCACAGACAAAUACCAGAAUGGUCAAACCCUGCAUUUUGUUUGCCCAGACAGCUUGGCUGUCUCUCUGUUGUCUCUGAGGAUUGUAGAUAUGCUUCAUCUUAAAGAUGCUGAUAAAGUAACUAAUCUGAUUCUGUCUCUGUUGAAUUCCAGUUUAUGGUAUUUGAGUUUAAGAAGUUACUUCCUAGUCAAAGAUAUGGGUUAAUUGUUGUUUUAUUCUUUUCCCCUCCUGUUGUUUAGGGAAAGCUGGUUUUGCUCAGUCUAAUCAGCUCAACAGUCAAACAUUGAAUCUUCCACAUUUUCAAUAAAACUGAUCCCUAAAAAAGUGCUAAAGUAGUAAGGUGAAAACAGUUGUGGCAGUGGUCAUUCUAAAUAUAGUUUUGCAAAU